UACGUAGGGGGCAAGCGUUGUCCGGAUUUAUUGGGCGUAAAGCGCGUGUAGGCGGCCAGGUAAGUCCGUUCUGAAAGCCCGGGGCUCAACCCCGGGAGGCGGAUGGAUACUGCUUGGCUCGAGUCCGGAAGAGGCGAGUGGAAUUCCCGGUGUAGCGGUAAAAUGCGCAGAUAUCGGGAGGAACACCAAUGGCGAAGGCAGCUCGCUGGGACGGUACUGACGCUGAGACGCGAAAGCGUGGGGAGCAAACAGG
rnacentral:rRNA from 1 species